GGGGGUAUAGCUCAGUUGGUAGAGCGUUGCUUUUGCAUAGCAGACGUCAGCAGUUCGAGUCUGCUUAUCUCCA
rnacentral:ncRNA from 11 species